CAGAGGGUGCAAGCGUUGUUCGGAAUUACUGGGCGUAAAGCGCGCGCAGGCGGAUCCUGCAAGUCAGAAGUGAAAUCUCACUGCUCAACGGUGAGGCUGCUUUUGAUACUGCGGAUCUGGAGACCGGUAGAGGCUGGUAGAAUUGCAGGUGUAGCGGUGGAAUGCGUAGAGAUCUGCAAGAAUACCCGUGGCGAAGGCGGCCAGCUGGGCCGGUUCUGACGCUGAGGCGCGAAAGCGUGGGGAGCAAACAGGAUUAGAUACCCUGGUAGUCCACGCCGUAAACGAUGGGCACUAGGUGCUGGGGGGAGCGACCCCGUCAGUGCCGUAGCUAACGCGAUAAGUGCCCCGCCUGGGGAGUACGGCCGCAAGGCUG
rnacentral:rRNA from 1 species